GUCCCCGAUGCCCGUGGCGCUGGUGUAGCGGCUGUCCAUCUCGAGCGGAGGCGCAGAGCACUUGUCCCGAGCCCACAUCCAAGCUGCGGCGGGCUGAGCGCUGCUCGGAGCCGAGCUCCGCACCGACGGGAAGGGGUCUGCUCCUCAAGUCCUGAAAGCUGGGCAGCCUAAAGCGUAUGCGCAGCUCGGGUGACCGCGGAGUUUGGCAAGCAGAUCCCGGGCGGCGCGACUGGGAGUGGGCAAGGCACGGGGCGCCGCAGCAGCCUGCUGGGCAACCCCCACUUUCCUGCGCACACCUGACCCAAGGCGUCACUGCGGGUCCUUUGGCGAUGGCCGCCAGGGGGCGAUGGAGAGCGGAGCGCCUAGCCUCGGGAGGGAGCGUUGCUGACUUUAGUCCUAGCUCACCUGGAGAAUCAAGGACUUAUUACUGGUCUCUCAGGUGACAUUUUAACACUUGGAGCCACCCCCUUAAAGAAUCUGUGUUGCUGCAGGGGGAAAAGAGUGUAGAUGCUUGUCGCUCUAAACAUUUGAAUCACUUUGGUCUUGUUUUCUUUCCCUGGUCGCCCCGUCCUCCACUCAUCACCCCUCAAAUCCACCAAUUCUGAUUUUCUUUCUCUUUCCUCUGUCACAAAUUAAACUGCAGUUGAUGACUA